GACGGAGGAUGCAAGCGUUAUCCGGAAUGAUUGGGCGUAAAGCGUCCGCAGGUGGCAGUUCAAGUCUGCUGUCAAAGACCGGGGCUUAACUUCGGAAAGGCAGUGGAAACUGAACAGCUAGAGUAUGGUAGGGGCAGAGGGAAUUCCUGGUGUAGCGGUGAAAUGCGUAGAGAUCAGGAAGAACAUCGGUGGCGAAGGCGGCGACCUGGUCCUUUUACUGACGCUGAGGCGCGAAAGCGUGGGGAGCAAACAGG
rnacentral:rRNA from 1 species